GAUGAACGCUGGCGGCGUGCCUAAUACAUGCAAGUCGAGCGAACUUUGGGGAGCUUGCUCCCAAAAGUUAGCGGCGGACGGGUGAGUAACACGUGGGUAACCUGCCUGUAAGACUGGGAUAACUUCGGGAAACCGGAGCUAAUACCGGAUAACAUAGAAAACCACAUGGCCUUCAAUUAAAAGGUGGCAUUUAGCUACCACUUACAGAUGGACCCGCGGCGCAUUAGCUAGUUGGUGAGGUCACGGAUCACCAAGGCGACGAGGCGUAGCCGACCGGAGAGGGUGGGCGGCCAGACUGGGAGGGAGACACGCCCCAGAGGGCUUGGGGAGGCAGCAAGAGGGCAACGUGCGCAAGGGGCGGAAGGUUGACGGAGCAAGGCGGCGGGAGGGAAGAAGGCCUUCGGGUGGGAGAGGUCGGUUGUUGGGGAAGAAAACGCAUUGUUCGAAUAGGGAGGUAACGUGACGGUACCUAAACAGGAAGCCACGGCUAACUACGUG
rnacentral:rRNA from 1 species